CUGCAGAACCUAAAUUGGUGGUUAACUAUAUCCGAACCUUAAGGUCAUAAAACAAGUCACUGAAAGAGCAGCUAGAAAAAGCAAAGAAGAAAGAAGCUGCCUUUAUUGUGACAUUUGCCAAACGAGAGCAAGAAGUGGCAGAAUUAAAGGUCAGUUUAUAUUCCCAUUUGUUUCACCUCGAAAAUCCUGACCGUAGUUACUCCGUUAGGUUAGAAAGGCAAUCACCCUCUUUAUUUGCUUUCAUAUUGAUGAUUGUAAAUGUCUAUAAAGAUUUUUACUUUCUUUCACUUCUAUGGAGCUAAGAAGUUGAUCAUUACCCCUCUCCAUGCUCUAUAAUCUUGGAUGGGGGCACAAUCACGGAACCACUUUUGCAGUCAAUGCGGAUGAUUGACUGCUAUUGCAGCUUGAUAUGUCAGUUGGUUAUCUCACAAACACUUACCAUGCUGUGAGGUUUCUCAAAUUCCUUUACAAUGGUGAUAUGGGCAUGCAACCGAUUGUAAAAUUGGAACACAAUCAAUAUAUAGACCCUAGCUUGACUAUUUGUGAUAGUAUUGUCUCUAAAAAUCUAAUAUCCACAAUAAAUAUAUUGACCUACCUUGACUGUGUAUGAUAGUAAUCUCUUUGAAAAUCUAAUAUUUAAAUCCUACUUGAGAUUGUCCUACAUGUUCACAAGCACAGCACCACAGCAGCUCACCGAUACCGCAACAUAGAGGACCACGCAGCAGUAGCAGCAGAACCUAGCAAACACAGCAGCCUGACCCAGAGCAGCCAAACCAGCAAGCAACACAGCACUACAGCAGACCAGCAAACACCCAGCAAAGCCUGACCAAAGCAAAACAGAAACACAGCAACUCAAGAACUCAAACCAGUCACCCAGCCAGC